ACUCCGUUGGUGAACCAGCGGAGGGAUCAUUACCGAGUUUACAACUCCAAAACCCCUUGUGAACCUUACCUGUCUACCGUUGCUUCGGCGGGUUCGCCCGCCGAGGGACCGACAAAUAAUCUCUUGUAUUUCUCGCUUUCGCAUGUCUUCGUGGAAUCAUAAACCAAUGAAUAAAAGCUUUCAACAACGGAUCUCUUGGUUCUG
rnacentral:misc_RNA from 1 species